rnacentral:rRNA from 1 species
GCGGAGGAAAAGAAAAUAACAAUGAUUUCCCUAGUAACGGCGAGUGAAGAGGAAAAAGCUCAAAGUUGGAAUCCGGUUGCCCUAGGUAAUUGGAGUUGUAAACUGGAGAGGCGUUUUCCAGGCAAACCAAGCAAAUAAGUCCUUUGGAACAGGGCAUCAUAGAGGGUGAGAAUCCCGUCUUUGGCUUGAGUAUUGUCUUUUGUGAUACGCUUUCAAAGAGUCAGGUUGUUUGGGAAUGCAGCCUAAAUUGGGUGGUAAAUCUCACCUAAAGCUAAAUAUUGGCGAGAGACCGAUAGCGAACAAGUACCGUGAGGGAAAGAUGAAAAGAACUUUGAAAAGAGAGUUAAACAGUAUGUGAAAUUGUUGAAAGGGAACCGUUUGGAGCCAGACUGGCUGCUCUAUAAUCAAUCUCUGCUUCGGUAGGGAUGCACUUGUAGGGCUUUGGCCUGCCAACAGCAAUUUUUUCUGAAGGAAAAAACUAGAAGGAAUGUGGCCCCUCGGGGUGUUAUAGCCUUYUAGAAAAUACUUUGGAAGGGAUUGAGGACUGCAGCAGAUGCUUUUGGCGAAAUAUAUAGGUGCUUGUAUUGAGGAAGUGUAGAAUUUCUGCUUCGGGUGGUGCUACGCUCUAAUGUGCAACUCGCUUAGACUAUUUUCUAUCUGCUUAGGUUGUUGGCUUAAUGACUCUAAUGAC